UUAAAAUCGUGAAUACAACUGUCGUAUUAAAGCGUCUUUUGCCUAGUUUAACAAGCAGCGACAAUUACGCUAUGGCUACAACUUGACAUUUCUUUUUCCCCAAAUCGUUGUCGCAUUUCCCGUGCGUUGUUCUGACGCAUUCUUUUAAUUAGUGUGAAAGCUACGGCCGCAACGAGAUACAGGUAUGAAAUUUUAGCAAACAUGAAAUUCAAAUGAAGUCGUCUCGGAGAAUUUUACAAACCACGCCGAUCGUGGCGAGGCAGCGUCGUCAAGCCAGAUUAUAGAAGACGAAGAGUGAUUACGUUCCAGCUGCCCAUCAGCCAAUUUUACAUGCCAGUAAUUCCUACCAUGGAUUUGGAAAACGAUUCGCGCGAUUUUAAUGCCGCCACACGGCUUCGCUCAGUAUUUUUCACAAAUUUGUGGUUCAGUUAAUUCCACAGUUUUUCGACUAACCCCGUGAAACAUGACGUGUACCAAACGUGAGAAUCCCAGUCUAUCUGCAAUGUAUAUACAAUACUUUAUUUUGUUGUUGUUGUUAGACCUAUCGCCGGGUAUGAUACAGAAUGUAAG
rnacentral:misc_RNA from 1 species